GACAGUGGAGCGGAAUGGUUGGAGUGUUGGACUAUGACUCUGGAGACCAGGGUUCGAUUCCCAGCUCGGCCA